rnacentral:rRNA from 1 species
UACGUAGGGGGCAAGCGUUGUCCGGAUUUAUUGAGCGUAAAGAGCGUGUAGGCGGCCAGGUAGGUCCGUUGUGAAAACUCGAGGCUCAACCUCGAGACGUCGGCGGAAACCCUCUGGCUAGAGUCCGGAAGAGGAGAGUGGAAUUCCUGGUGUAGCGGUGAAAUGCGCAGAUAUCAGGAGGAACACCUAUUGCGAAGGCAGCUCGCUGGGACGUAACUGACGCUGAGACGCGAAAGCGUGGGGAGCAAACAGG